UACGUAGGAUGCAAGCGUUAUCCGGAAUGACUGGGCGUAAAGGGUGCGUAGGCGGUUUGCCAAGUCGGUAGCGUAAUCACGGGGCUCAACUCCGUAACUACUACCAAAACUGGUAGGCUUGAGUGCGGCAGGGGUAUGUGGAAUUCCUAGUGUAGCGGUGGAAUGCGUAGAUAUUAGGAGGAACACCGGUGGCGAAAGCGACAUACUGGGCCGUAACUGACGCUGAGGCACGAAAGCGUGGGGAGCAAACAGG
rnacentral:misc_RNA from 1 species